UACUUAAGAGAAAGUAAGUCUUUUUUGUUUCUACCAUGCUGAAUAUUAUCAUUUUUUUUGUGGAACUUACUUUAACAAGCCUUAGUAACCAGAUGCUGCUGUAAAUAUUUACUUAAGGAUGCCAUUAAUAUUUACUUGCUGAGAGAUUUACUUAAGGAUGCCGUUAAUAUUUACUUGCCAAGAGAGAGAGAGAGAGAGAGA
rnacentral:misc_RNA from 1 species